UAGCACAGAGAGCUUGCUCUCGGGUGACGAGUGGCGGACGGGUGAGUAAUGUCUGGGAAACUGCCUGAUGGAGGGGGAUAACUACUGGAAACGGUAGCUAAUACCGCAUAACGUCGCAAGACCAAAGAGGGGGACCUUCGGGCCUCUUGCCAUCAGAUGUGCCCAGAUGGGAUUAGCUAGUAGGUGGGGUAACGGCUCACCUAGGCGACGAUCCCUAGCUGGUCUGAGAGGAUGACCAGCCACACUGGAACUGAGACACGGUCCGGACUCCUACGGGAGGCAGCAGUGGGGAAUAUUGCACAAUGGGCGCAAGCCUGAUGCAGCCAUGCCGCGUGUAUGAAGAAGGCCUUCGGGUUGUAAAGUACUUUCAGCGGGGAGGAAGGUGUUGUGGUUAAUAACCGCAGCAAUUGACGUUACCCGCAGAAGAAGCACCGGCUAACUCCGUGCCAGCAGCCGCGGUAAUACGGAGGGUGCAAGCGUUAAUCGGAAUUACUGGGCGUAAAGCGCACGCAGGCGGUCUGUCAAGUCGGAUGUGAAAUCCCCGGGCUCAACCUGGGAACUGCAUUCGAAACUGGCAGGCUAGAGUCUUGUAGAGGGGGGUAGAAUUCCAGGUGUAGCGGUGAAAUGCGUAGAGAUCUGGAGGAAUACCGGUGGCGAAGGCGGCCCC
rnacentral:rRNA from 1 species